ACAUGUAAUAACUCGCUGGAGAAACACAGUCCACAUGCCCUUGAACAAUAUGUUGUUAACAAGUCACUUAUUCUGAGGAACGUCAAGGAAACUGCCUCUUUUCAAUGACCUCUAGUGACGAAAUGAAAAGUAAUUCUGGAUAGUAUAAUACAUGGACGCAAGAGUCACUGGUAAGGAAGUACCUAUAUGAGUUCCGUCGAAAGUAGAGGUGGUUACUCGGGGACAGUGGGGAGCAGCAGCCCCUCAAUGCCGGGAGACCCUCAAGUAUCCUGCUCAAAGAGUUGUCGUACACCACACGGCACUGCAUUGCGGGGGCAUCCAAUAAUGUAUGGACCAGCUCAUCCACAUAGAGAGAAUGCAUAUGCAGGAUAGGAACUUUGAUGACAUUGGAUACAAGUGAGUGACCUCUCCUUUCCAGAUGAGAGCCCCAGUCCAGCAGCCCUGUCAUCUGUUAAACAACUCCUGCAGUGUGGGGUUUCCCAGGGACAUUUUCACCCUGUAUUUAUCCUACUUGGGCACAGAGACUUGAGGGAUACCGAAUGUCCUAGGGAGAGACUAUAUGCUGCACUAAAACAUCUCAAAUUUCCCUGAACAUAACAUCAUCCACAGACUCAAUUGCUACUGGUUCGAAAGACAGAGUUGGCUGGUGGAAGAGAUUACCCAGAACAUCGUAGCCAUGGCCGAUACUAGCAGGGUUACCUAAACUCGGUCCUGGAAAUUGAUGUGGCAAUUGAUGUGCAAACAGAUUCUGAAAUGAUCUGUUGUAAGUUGCCACCCAUUCACAGUGUAAUUGUAGAGGUCAAAUAUUAAAGUUGUAAAAUGCAUCUGUUUAGUAGAAAUAUUAAGACUAAACGUUAUUAUUUAUUUUGGUAUUCACAUAAAAUUGUCCACAUACCAUUAUAUUCCUUUUUCUAUGAGUGUGCUGCUAUAAAGUUUUCUAGGAAAUAAGAACUGAGAAAGGUGUAAGAGUAACUCACAUGAAUAGAGUAAAUACACACAAAAAAAUAUGCUGCUGAAAAAAUGCUAACUAUUGACAGAAAACUGGCUUUUGGGAUUUAAUUGAAAUGGCUUCGUAAAUCACACAAAAAAAUAAAUAAAACAUAAUUUGUCAAAGGGAGAAAAGCUUGUAGGCCUACCUGUAAAUGU